CAGAAAUGUAAGAGACCUGCCUGGCUCCCUGAGGGUGGCUGGAACCGCGUUUGUUUGGGUGUUGAUGGUAUGGGGAACCUGCAGGUUUUUCUGAACACUCUGCUUGCUCUCGGUGAGGGGGAUCCAGAAAGUCAGCUGGAUUGGAAAGGUUUCUCAGAAGAGAGGUUCAGAGUUGGAGGUGAGAUAAAGUUCACGUAGGGGCUAUGCAACAGACGGGAAAGAGGACCUGUGGACUAGUACACCGGAGAUAUAGGAGUUCUCUACCCCUGUGCCUCUGAGGACUAGGGAUGGUCCAACAGGACUACAUUAGCAGAGCCAAGCUAGACAGAUUCCCAACGAUGUACUGGGGUUCCUACUCCUCUUCCCCUGGCUUCCUGCUGCAUGGCCUUGGAUUACCUAAGAGGUCAAUGUGUUGACUGAUGGCCAGGCUUAUGCCUCUGCUAUAACAAGAGGUGUGUUUGUGCACACAUGUGCAUGAAUGUACCCAUGUGUGUGCAGGUGUCCUAGUAGGUCAGAAGAGGGUGUUGGAUUCCUUCGGGCUGGAGUUACAGACAUUUGUGAGGUACUGGGAUCCACGAUGGAGCAGCCAGCCAUCUUAACCACCGAGUCAUUCCUCCAGCACAGCUCCGACGUUAAAAAGAACUCUACAACAACAGUCACCAAGUGAUAAACAGCAUCCUUGUUUUGGUGGUGGGGUAACAGGGAACUGGGUUUGAUUAAUCACCUCUUGUAAUCUCAAUGAAAUUAUAGAGGCGACCCCCUCUCCACCUUUUCAAAGAACAAACACCCAGAACUCAGGAAGAGUGACGUCUAUGUGCUCACAUCUUUGCAGUCUCCUCGGCGAGCGUGCUCUCAUCCGUGCAUCCUUGAGUUAUCCUCACCAACAUUCUCAGGCACGGAUGGCCUCUCUCUCUUUCGCAUGAGCAGCUUAACUGUCUCAGAGAGGUACAGUGAGUUAACCAAUGACUGACUCACAGAAUGUGAAAGACCCAGUCUGAAUUCCCAUUCAUGGUGCUUGCCCACUGGCGGACAGAACAGGCUGUUCUUUAGCAGAACCUCAGGUCUCAGUGUCCUGCACUCCCCUUAGGACAUGACUCUGCUUCUCUGUCUUGUAGACCAUACUCUGGCCCCCGGGGAAUGAGUUCAAAGACUGGUGAAGUGAAAUCGGGAGAACCUUACUUUUAGGCAAUGCACUUGGGUGCAUGCCUCGAUGGUCAAGCCUGAGGAGUCUCAAAUCUGCAGAAGAAAAUAUUUUCAACUGCGUGGGGUGACAGUUUGUUCUUGAAGGUGUAAUUCCUACUUUUUGUUAAUCCCACCCGAAGGUAGAACAUGAAGCUGAGCUCAGUGAAUUGUAUGGAAAUUAAUCACGAGGCGAGAGACUGUCUCAGCUCAUUUGUGGUUUUUAUUUUAGUCUCGUGUUUACUUUUCUCUUAAGGAUGAGCAGGCUGAUUCAGAGAGAGAUUGAGAGAGAGAAAGAGAGAGAGAGAGAGAGAGAGAGAGAGAGAGAGAGAGAUCCCUUUGAGAUCACCAAGUUAGAAAUGGUAGAGCCAGCACUUGAGCCUAGGUGUCUGACUCCAGAUGUGCACCAU
ensembl:lncRNA